UACGUAGGGGGCAAGCGUUGUCCGGAUUUAUUGGGCGUAAAGAGCGUGUAGGCGGCCUGACAGGUCUGCUGUGAAAACUCGAGGCUCAACCUCGAGAUGUCGGCGGAAACCGUCUGGCUAGAGUCCGGAAGAGGAGAGUGGAAUUCCUGGUGUAGCGGUGAAAUGCGCAGAUAUCAGGAAGAACACCUACGGCGAAGGCAGCUCUCUGGGACGGUACUGACGCUGAGACGCGAAAGCGUGGGGAGCGAACAGG
rnacentral:rRNA from 1 species